rnacentral:rRNA from 1 species
GACGAACGCUGGCGGCGUGCUUAACACAUGCAAGUCGAACGGAAAGGCCUGCAGCUUGCUGCGGGUACUCGAGUGGCGAACGGGUGAGUAACACGUGGGUGAUCUGCCUUGCACUUCGGGAUAAGCUUGGGAAACUGGGUCUAAUACCGGAUAGGACAGCUGUUUAGUGUCAGUUGUGGAAAGUUUUUUCGGUGCAAGAUGAGCUCGCGGCCUAUCAGCUUGUUGGUGGGGUAAUGGCCUACCAAGGCGUCGACGGGUAGCCGGCCUGAGAGGGUGUACGGCCACAUUGGGACUGAGAUACGGCCCAGACUCCUACGGGAGGCAGCAGUGGGGAAUAUUGCACAAUGGGCGGAAGCCUGAUGCAGCGACGCCGCGUGGGGGAUGAAGGCCUUCGGGUUGUAAACUCCUUUCGACAGGGACGAAGCGUAAGUGACGGUACCUGUAUAAGAAGCACCGGCUAACUACGUGCCAGCAGCCGCGGUAAUACGUAGGGUGCGAGCGUUGUCCGGAAUUACUGGGCGUAAAGAGCUCGUAGGUGGUUUGUCGCGUCGUCCGUGAAAUUCCGGGGCUUAACUCCGGGCGUGCAGGCGAUACGGGCUGACUUGAGUGCUGUAGGGGAGACUGGAAUUCCUGGUGUAGCGGUGAAAUGCGCAGAUAUCAGGAGGAACACCGAUGGCGAAGGCAGGUCUCUGGGCAGUAACUGACGCUGAGGAGCGAAAGCAUGGGUAGCGAACAGG